GAUGAACGCUGGCGGCGUGCCUAACACAUGCGAGUCGAACGGAGUCCAGCCUUUAAGACCUUCGGGUCAAAGAGGGGAAGACUGAGUGGCGGACGGGUGAGUAACACGUGGGCAACCUGGCUCAUAGAGGGGGAUAACAGAGAGAAAUUUCUGCUAAUACCGCAUAAGCACACACUGCCGCAUGGCAGAGGGUGAAAAGAGAAUCGCUAUGAGAUGGACCCGCGUCUGAUUAGCCAGUUGGCAGGGUAAGAGCCUACCAAAGCGACGAUCAGUAGCCGAUCUGAGAGGAUGAACGGCCACAUUGGGACUGAGACACGGCCCAAACUCCUACGGGAGGCAGCAGUGGGGGAUAUUGCACAAUGGGGGGAACCCUGAUGCAGCGACGCCGCGUGAGUGAAGAAGUAUUUCGGGAUGUAAAGCUCUAUCAGCAGGGAAGAUAAUGACAGUACCUGAAGAAGAAGCCCCGGCUAACUACGUG
rnacentral:rRNA from 1 species